GACGAACGCUGGCGGCGUGCUUAACACAUGCAAGUCGAACGGAAAGGCCUGCUUUUCCUUGUGGAUUGCGGGUACUCGAGUGGCGAACGGGUGAGUAACACGUGAGUGAUCUGCCCCCAACUUGGGUAUAAGCCUGGGAAACUGGGUCUAAUUCCCGAUAGGACUGCAGGGUGGUGCCUGUGGUGGAAAACGAUUUUCUAGUGGUUGGGGAUGAGCUCGCGGCCUAUCAGCUUGUUGGUGGGGUAAUGGCCUACCAAGGCGGCGACGGGUAGCCGGCCUGAGAGGGUGGACGGCCACAUUGGGACUGAGAUACGGCCCAGACUCCUACGGGAGGCAGCAGUGGGGAAUAUUGCACAAUGGGCGGAAGCCUGAUGCAGCGACGCCGCGUGGGGGAUGACGGCCUUCGGGUUGUAAACUCCUUUCGACCGCGAGGAAGCCACCUGGUUGGAAGGGUGGUGACGGUAGUGGUAGAAGAAGCACCGGCUAACUACGU
rnacentral:rRNA from 1 species